rnacentral:rRNA from 1 species
GAUGAACGCUGGCGGCGUGCCUAAUACAUGCAAGUCGAGCGAACAGAUGAGGAGCUUGCUCCUCUGACGUUAGCGGCGGACGGGUGAGUAACACGUGGAUAACCUACCUAUAAGACUGGGAUAACUUCGGGAAACCGGAGCUAAUACCGGAUAAUAUAUUGAACCGCAUGGUUCAAUAGUGAAAGACGGUUUUGCUGUCACUUAUAGAUGGAUCCGCGCCGCAUUAGCUAGUUGGUAAGGUAACGGCUUACCAAGGCAACGAUGCGUAGCCGACCUGAGAGGGUGGUCGGCCACACUGGAACGGAGACACGGUCCAGGCUCCUACGGGAGGCAGCAGUAGGGAAUCUUCCGCAAUGGGCGAAAGCCUGACGGAGCAACGCCGCGUGAGUGAUGAAGGUCUUGGGAUCGUAAAACUCUGUUAUGAGGGAAGAACAAAUGUGUAAGUAACUAUGCACGUCUUGACGGUACCUAAUCAAAAAGCCACGGCUAACUACGUG